rnacentral:rRNA from 1 species
GAUGAACGCUAGCGGCAGGCUUAAUACAUGCAAGUCGUGGGGCAGCAGGAGUAGCAAUACUCGCUGGCGACCGGCAAACGGGUGCGGAACACGUACACAACCUUCCUCCAAGCGGGGAAUAGCCCAGAGAAAUUUGGAUUAAUACCCCAUAACAUAUAGUAUAGGCAUCUAUAAAAUAUUAAAGCUUCGGCACUUGAUGAUGGGUGUGCGUAUGAUUAGGUAGUUGGUGAGGUAAUGGCUCACCAAGCCUACGAUCAUUAGCUGAUGUGAGAGAAUGAUACGCCACACGGGCACUGAGACACGGGCCCGACUCCUACGGGAGGCAGCAGUAAGGAAUAUUGGACAAUGGGCGAAAGCCUGAUCCAGCCAUGCCGCGUGAAGGAUUAAGGUCCUCUGGAUUGUAAACUUCUUUUAUAUGGGACGAAAAAAGGCAAUUCUUUGUCGCUUGACGGUACCAUAUGAAUAAGCACCGGCUAACUCCGUGCCAGCCGCCGCAGUAAUAC